rnacentral:rRNA from 1 species
CCUACGGGUGGCAGCAGUGGGGGAUAUUGCACAAUGGGGGGAACCCUGAAGCAGCGAAGCAGCGUGAGUGAAGAAGGGCCUCGGGGUGUAAAGCCCUGUCAGCAGGGAAGUAAAUGACGGUACCUGAAGAAGAAGCCCCGGCUUACUACGUGCCAGCAGCCGCGGUGAUACGUAGGGGGCGAGCGUUAUCCGGAUUUACUGGGUGUAAAGGGGGCGUAGACGGAUAUGCAAGCCUGGAGUGAAAGCCCGGGGCCCAACCCCGGGACUGCUCUUGAAACUGGGUGGCUGGAGUACAGUAGGGGCAGGCGGAAGUCCUGGUGUAGCGGUGAAAUGCGUAGAUAUCAGGAGGAACCCCGGUGGCGAAGGCGGCCUGCUGGACUGCAACUGACGUUGAGGCCCGAAAGCGUGGGGAGCAAACAGGAUUAGAUACCCUAGUAGUC